rnacentral:tRNA from 1 species
GUGAGUAGAGCUCAGUGGCAGAGUGUGUGCUUAGCAUGCACGAGGCCCCGGGGUGCCCUGGGUUCAAUUCCCAGUGCCUCUG